GUAUCAUACACGCCACUUGAAUUUAAAUCACAUCAAAUCUACUAUCGAAAACAAACUCAACUACAUCUCAUAGCAAAAGUAUUGGACUUAAACAACAAAUGCAAAUUGUGUAAAACUGUAAAUAACAUAUAUGCUUUCUUCAUCACGGUACCAUACGCGCCACUUGAAUUUAAAUCACAUCAGAUCUACUAUCGAAAACAAACUCAACUGCAUCUCAUAGCAAAUGUAUUGGACUUAAACAACAAAUGCAAAUUGUGUAAAACUGUAAAUAACAUAUAUGCUUUCUUC
rnacentral:lncRNA from 1 species